GCAGCAUCUGUGUGGGAGCAGUUAUUUGUCUGAUACAACCAUGGAAGUGUUUUAGGAAGUGUGACAUGCACAUGUGCUGACAGCUUAAUUCCACUAGAGAAUAGCCAAGGACUUCAUGGUUAAUGGAGAAGAACAAGAUUCUUUUCUUUGUCCUUUUCUGGAAGAGGUUCAGGAGAGCUCUGCCUAAACAGACAAAAAGUUUUGAAGAGAUCUGGCUGCAGUUGCAUAGUCCUGCCAAAAUGUUAAGCUCAUGAAGAUUUCCAGGUUUGCUGAAAUUCCUUUUGCUGGUGUAUAAUAACCAUACCUGAUAAAUAACAUUUUUAAUGUAUUUUUAAAGUGACUAAGUCACUAAAGUGACUAAGUUGUGGAACAACAAAGAUGGGAAAAAUUCCAAAG
rnacentral:lncRNA from 1 species